ensembl:lincRNA
AGACCAGCCUGGGCUACACAGUGAGUUCCAGGUCAGUCUCAACUACAUAGUGAGAUCCUGUCUCAAAAAAAAAAAAAAAAAGAAUAUGGGGGUGAGUGAGAAAUUGAGUGGACAGAAGCAAAGGACAGUGGCAUUGAUGAUUGCUGAUGCUCCCUCAGUGUUCACAGGCAGCGAGUACUAAGCUUUGCAUGUGUUGUUCCAUUCAUUUGCUGACAGGUGACACAGUCAGCUCACGGCACGCUCUAAGCACCGGGUUAAGGAACCUAUUUUAUUGAUAGUGGAGGGCCGCUGAAGGUUUUUGAAUAAGUAUUAGCAGGGAAUAAAAAAGGAGAAUCCAGACUGCUUGUCUAGGAGAACCGGAAGACACUGUGACAUUUUUGCGCAAAUACUUAUUUAUGCGAAGAGACAGAUGCUCCUUUUGGUUGUGGUGGGGGGACAGCCACACCUCCCAGCCAGCCUCAAAGGUGCGUGAGAGUCCAACAAGGCUUAGAAUCACUGACCUAGCAACCGUGGGCCUAGUCCCAGGCAAGACAUAGGAGGAGGGGUUGCAGAGAGAGUGUGGAAUGGCGGCUUCCCUCAGGGGUUCUGACUUUCCACUGUUGUAUGGGGGCCUUCAGAGCAUGGCAGAGACCAGGAAGGCUGCAGUCACAGGCAGGGCUGAGGCUCCGCUGCAAGCUGAAGUUGGAAUGAUACUGUCAAGGAAAACAGACAGGAGGGGCCAAGGACAGAUCUGUGAACAUAUUUCAUCUGUCCGCUGGGCCUUUUCCUAAGUGCUUUUCUGACAGAUGAUUUUUCUCUACACAGGAAACUCACAUGUUGAACUUCAGUUCCUAAAAUACAUUAAAUCACACUUCGGCUUCUGAGGGCAGGAGGGUUCGCACAUCAUGACUUACUCGUGUGGCUCAUGUCUCCUCUGAAGAAAUUAUCUCUUCAAAAUGAUCAGCAUCUUCGUCGGACUCGGAACCUUGCCUACCUGGAGGAAAAUACUGGCUUCUCGUCCUACUUCGCUUCACACAUUGCCGGCUUGCCUGAGGUUGCAGCCGGGUUUGGCCCCCACGAACUGCACAGAAGGAGGGGCCCAGCUAAACAAACAAGCACCGGGAUUAGCUGCAUCCCAUGCGGUAAAGCCAGUGCUAAUUUGCUCAGGUUAACAGAACAGCAACUAGCAAAACAGGAAUCCAGAGAUGUCUGGGGCAAGUGGGACUGGAGGCCUUGGGCUGGAACUGGAUUGCUAAGGGAAGCAGAUAGUCAGGCGAGGCUAGGUGUUGUUUGGCAAAAGGCACAACUCAAGAAACCGGGGACUCAGCCAGGCAUGGUGGUGUGGAUGCCUGUAAUCCCAGCACUCUGGGAGGCUGAGGCAGGAAGAUUGCAAGUGUAAGCCCUGUUCUGGCAACUUAGUGACUCUGAAAGACCCUGCUUCAAAAUAAAGAAUAAAAAAAAGGGCUGGGGAGGUAGCUUAGUGCAAAGGCCCUGAGUUCAAUCCCCAGUACCAUCAAUUAAUUUAAAAAAUAAAGCUGGGACUUCCUGCUAGAAAGAUAGUGUAGUGGCAUGAAAUUCAAGAAGAACCAGGACAAGUAUCAGAGAGAGUGGCCUUUCCAUACCUGUACCGUCUGUUAUGAGUUGAGUUUCAUUCUCUUCACCCCGCUGAGGUUAAAGUCCUGUGCUGCAGUACUCUUCAUCCUGAGAUACAUCCCUACUUCCCAUCCGCCCUUUUUUCCCACUUUGAGACAGGGUUUUGCCAAGUCACUAAGUAGCUCAGGUUGGACUUGAAUUUGGUAUCCUCCUGCCUCAGACUCAAAGAUUACCAGCAACCAUUGGGUGCUGGGGAAGAGGUACGGGACAGAUCCCUUCUCUCAGCACUCAGAAGGAACCCACCCUGCUGGAUGGUGUGGUUUUUGUGGUACUGGGGAUCGAACCCAGGGCCUCUCACACACAUUAUUCUAGUUAGUGACAUCCCCAGCCCUCUGCAGAGCCUUUGAUCUCAAACUUCUGGCUUCCAGAACUACGAGGCCAUAAAUUUCUGUUGCUGCAACCACCCACUUGAUGGUAUUUUUGCCUAGCAUACCAACCCACCUCUUUUCUCUGCACUGCUAGGUCUGUUCCCUGCUGCUUCUGGCCAGUCUAGUCCUGGUUUCCGGAACCAAGGACUCUGCAGAGGCAGAGCUGUGGAAAGCAUAAAUGGCUCCGGGCUCCGCAGAGCUCACUGGAAGUCAGCAGGCAGAGUGGCGGAACCCCGACUCUAUUUACUGUGAGGGCCGAGUCCUGUGUGCAGUGAGGUCAAGAGAGAGGGUCCUCAAUGUAGAGCUGGCUGCUAACUCUGCAGGGACCAAAACAUCCAACCCAAGUCUGGCCCACGGAUCUUGCUUAACCUGGCUUAUAAAGCCUUUGUUCCCAGCCUUUCUCCGUGUCAUUAUUCAGGCUGUUGUUAUCCACUUGCUUUAGUUAUCAGGGAGCAGCAGCCAGUUGCCAUGGUUACCUAUAAGCAGCAAAGUGCCAUUCCUUGGAGGUCCCAGGGUUCCACAAACAAGACGGGGGCCUGGCACAGUGAAUAUCACUGAGCCCAGUAGUCAGCAUGGAAUACUGAGGGGAGCGGGGUCCCUAGGGCUGGGUCCUUAGAGCCCUGGAGCAGAGGCAAAGGUGCUGUUCCUCCUAUCAGAGGUGAUUAUUGCAAAUAGUCUUUCAAACAAAUAUGUGCUGUCAUUGUUAUUAAAGAGCAGGCAGGCAUAGUCAGGACUGUCUCUGCUAGAAAAAUUAAAUGCAGUUGUAUUUCUGAGCAGAUAAACUGGAAAAGUGUAUUUUGUUUUGGAUUUUUUUUUUUUUUUUGAAAAGCCUUGAACUCACUAUGUAGCGCACCCAGCGUGUUCUCCAACUUGCAGCAAUCCUCCUGCCUCAGCCUCUCCACUGCUGGGAUUAUAGGCGUGCACCACCACACCUGACAAGAAUCAGCUCUUUUGAUCCUUGCACCUGUGAGGCUGGUACUCUAACUACCCCAUGAGCAGCUGGGAAACUGGUGCAUUGAGAUAAAGCUCCCCACAGUCAUUCUACCAGGCAGGCUGGCGAGCCUAGGACCAGGUGUGCUGGAUUCCAGAGCUCCAAGUCCUCAGCCACCCUUCCACACUGAGCUGGGCAGUUCCGGUGAGAUGGAUGCAACCGAUAUGACAAGUUCUGCCAGAAAGUGUAGCUGCAAGUCUUGUUUACAGCUGGGCAAUGAGAUUCUAACAUGGAAUGAUUUUGAAUAAUCUGUGAGGAACAAAAGUGAAAGCUGGUGGUUGUGACGAAGAAAGCACUAAAAGUAGAAAAAAUGUAUUGGUCCUUUUGUUACUGUUAUUUUUGAGACAUGGUCUCACUACAUAGUUUCCCUUUCUUUUUUUUGAGACAAGGUCUCUCUAUGUAGUUCAGACUGGCCUUGAACACAUAGCAAUCCUCCUGCCUCAGCCUCCUGAGCGCUGGGAUUACAGGUGUGCACCACCACAUCCAACUCUGACUGCAAUCAUUAUAGCAACCCCUAUAUAUAUAUAUAUUCACAUUGAAUAGGCAAUAUAUUUCUAUAUUUUGGGUUAAUUUAUAUUUUCAUACAUAUAAUACAUGUCCUAUCAUUAAAACGUAACAUUGCUUGAAGAUUCCUGUCUUUAACAACCGCCAGCCCCUAGCCUGAUCUGCAGACCUCCCAUUUCUCCUUCGCAGAGCCAAUCAGCUCACCGCUCUUCUGUCCCUUCUAACCUUUGUCACCAUUUUCUAAAUAAACGUCCCGGCUGAUGGAGUCCGAAUAUAACCUAUUGAUUUCCCUCCAUAAUAGUUGAGGGUUUCACCUUUCCGUGCCACCUGGCCCACCUCCAUUUCUCCAUGUCCCUCGAAUAAGAAGACACUCGUCACCAGGACGACUGGGUGUGGCAUGAAGGCCAGAGGUCAGAGCCCCUUCACAAGGAUGGAAGCGGCCGCGCAUCGGACAAAGCACAUGCGCGGAAGGCCCUGCCGCCUACUGCCUGCAUCUAAGGGUGCCUUAGCUAUUGUUUAGCCGGAGCCCGGAGCGUAGUGGUACACACUUGUCAUCCCAGCCCUGGGAGGCUGAGGCAGGAGGAUCGCUGCGAGUUAGAUGCCAUCCUGGGCUACACAGUGACAAGCUGUCUUAAAAAAAAUGAAAACCCAACAACAACAAAACAAAACAACAGCAAACAAAGCAACAACAACGAAAAGAAGUUUUAAAAUGCGACCCGUAGAUCGCUACUACGUCCAAAAUCAAAUGAAAAAUCUUGUGACGCAUAUGCUGACUACACCACAAUUUAUCAACUUGACUAUGGAGGGUUCAAGAUAUGGCCCAAGAACUCUUGGACACUUUUCUCUUUAAGAAAGUUCCUGUGUCCCCUCCCCUCAGAAUCCGGGUCAACUUGUGACUGCUGUCCCCCUGGACCACAGGAAGUGAUGGUGUGGGGUUUCUGCAGCUUCCCUCGAAUUUUCUUGGGCACUUCAGCUGCGGAAAGUCAGCAUCACAUGAGAGGUGUGACAACUGGGGGUCACCUUCGGGCUCCUAGUCACCUGCCACGAGUGAGCCCGUCACGGCUUUUCAACGUCUGAUUUGCAGGCACCUGAGAAAUCCCAGGAGAACACGGCCCAUCAGAGCACUUUCCAAUUUCCUAGCUCAUGAAAUCACAAGCAAAUAAAACAGCUGUCAUUUCAGAACCCCAAGUUUUGGAAUAAUUUCUUUUGCAGCAAUAAUAAUAAGUGGGCUGGGUGUGGUGGUGCAUACCUGUAACCUCAGCACUUUGCGAGGCUGAGGCAGGAGGAUCACAAGUUCAAACCCAGCCUGGGAAAUUUAGCAAUUUAGGAAAAUCCUGUCUCCAAAUGAAAAAAUGGCUGGGGAUGUAACUCAUUAUGAACAAAUAGGAAAACCUGGGUUCAAUCCCCAGUGAAACACACACACACACACACACACACACACACACACACACACACACACACACGCUUUCAUUCUACACAUUAUCUCAUUCAAAUCUUACAAAGUUGAUAUCAAUGGCUCUGUUUCACAAAUGAGGAAACUGAGGCCACGUAUCAAGCCAGCAGAAAGUCCAGGACUCUUACCCAACUAUGUUCAAGUCUAGAGCCUGUGCUUCCAAUCUUCAUGCUACGUUUCCUCUAUAAUUAGGAAAUGAAGCCUGGGCAAGAUCCUUUAUUUAUUUAUACUAUUGCCUUGCUCCAGAAAGGAUUUCAGGCAUCUGGUUAAGUAACUUGUCCAAGAUCACCCAGGCAACAAAAACAAAGCCAUCAAUCAAGUCUCUUUCUCUCACAAACUUCAUAAACCAAGUGAGAUAACACAGAUGCUCAGCCCUAUCAUGACUUUGCUCAUAAACCCGAGAAAGGGGAAUGUGGCAUUUUCUUUGGCUGUUUUUCCUGUUCAUUCUCACUGGUUAUAAAUUCCUUGCUUUAUCCUUUUUUUCUUUUUUUUUUUUUUUUUU